GGCCGAUUGGCUCAAUGGUAGAGCGUCCGCCUCCUAUCACUGGCCCAGCGGAAGGUUGUGGGUAAGAAUUGAUGUACACCUUUUCAGUCU